GCAUAUCAAUAAGCGGAGGAAAAGAAAAUAACAAUGAUUCCCCCAGUAACUGCGAGUGAAGAGGGACAAGCUCAAAUUUUAAAUCUGUCGGGUUCUCCUGACCGAGUUGUAAUUUGAAGAAGCGUUUUCCGCGCCGUUUGAUCAGCCCAAGUCUUAUUGAAUGAGGCAUCAUGGAGGGUGAUAAUCCCGUUCGGUUGAUCAAUUGUGCUUUAUGAUACGCUUUCAAAGAGUCAAGUUGUUUGGGAUUGCAGCUUAAAAUGGGAGGUAAAUUUCUCCUAAGGCUAAAUAUUGGCGAGAGACCGAUAGCGAACAAGUACCGUGAGGGAAAGAUGAAAAGAACUUUGAAAAGAGAGUUAAACAGUACGUGAAAUUGUUGAAAGGGAAACGAUUGAAGCCAGUCGUACCGGCGGGUAAUCAGCCUUUCGGGUAUGAUUCUGUGGAGCGUGAGGAGUUAAACGCCUUCAUGCCUGCAUAUUCGUGCUCUUGGGUGUACUUGCUCGUGUGGUUGGUUAACAUCAAUUUCGGAUAUCAUAAAAUGGCUGGAGGAAUGUAGCUUCGAUUUCGAUUGAAGUGUUAUAGCCUUCGGCAGAUGUGAUGAUCGGGAUUGAGGAUUGCAACGGAUACCCUUCGGGGCUACCUGUCUGAUCUCUGAUCGUUGCUUUGGUGCCGAAAGCUUGCUUACGGUUAUCAAAGUCGAUGGUCAACAGGUUAGAACGGGUUAAAUUCGUUAAGGAUGUUGACGUA
rnacentral:rRNA from 1 species